UACGUAGGGUGCAAGCGUUGUCCGGAAUUAUUGGGCGUAAAGAGCUCGUAGGCGGUUUGUCACGUCGGAUGUGAAAACCCGAGGCUUAACCUCGGGCCUGCAUUCGAUACGGGCUGACUAGAGUUCGGUAGGGGAGACUGGAAUUCCUGGUGUAGCGGUGAAAUGCGCAGAUAUCAGGAGGAACACCGAUGGCGAAGGCAGGUCUCUGGGCCACUACUGACGCUGAGAAGCGAAAGCAUGGGGAGCGAACAGG
rnacentral:rRNA from 1 species